AGAAUGAACGUUGGCGGCGUGGAUUAGGCAUGCAAGUCGCGCGUGUACCCGCAAGGGGAAAGCGGCGUAAGGGACAGUAACACGUAGAUUACCUACCCUCGGAUUCGGGAUAGCUGCGGGAAACUGCAGGUAAUACCGAAUAACGUCUCCGGACCAAAGGUGUGAUUCCGUCCGAGGAUGGGUCUGCGUCCUAUUAGCUAGUUGGUGGGGUAAUGGCCUACCAAGGCAAUGAUGGGUAGUGGGUGUGAGAGCACGACCCGCGUCACUGGGACUGAGACACUGCCCAGACACCUACGGGUGGCUGCAGUCGAGGAUCUUCGGCAAUGGGCGCAAGCCUGACCGAGCGACGCCGCGUGCGGGAUGAAGGCCUUCGGGUUGUAAACCGCUGUCAGUGGGGAGAAAAGUGUACGGAGGUACUCCUUCGUAUUUGAUCUAUCCGCAGAGGAAGUGUGGGCUAAGUUCGUGCCAGCAGCCGCGGUAA
rnacentral:rRNA from 1 species